UACGACCAUAUCACGUUGAAACACCGGCUCUCGUACGCUCACCGAAGUUAAGCAACGUCAAACCUUGUUAGAACCUAGAUUGGUAACUGCUUUGGAAUACCAGGUGCUGUA